ensembl:processed_transcript predicted gene 29232
UUCCCUGCAGUUUGGCUUUGGGCCUUUUGAGUUACCCCCUCAGUGGCUCUCUGAGACCCGAAAUAGCAAGAAGAGGCUGCUUCCCCCACUGGGCAAUACCCCAGAAGAGCUGAUCCAGACAAAGGUGCCCAGAGAUGCCAAUGGAUAUUAUAAAGGGGAACCUAGAUGGAAUUUCAAAACCAGCCUCAAGUUCAAGAUCACGUCCUGGAAGCCGAAGUUCAAACGGUUCUCUGGAGGUGCUCACGCCAGAACCAGGGCCUGUCAAGGUAAUCUGCUUGGAAAGGGACUGAACUCUCG